rnacentral:rRNA from 1 species
UACAGAGGUCCCAAGCGUUGUUCGGAUUCACUGGGCGUAAAGGGUGCGUAGGCGGUCGGGUAAGUCUGAUGUGAAAUCUCACAGCUUAACUGUGAAACUGCAUUGGAUACUAUCCGGCUAGAGGAAUGGAGGGGAGACUGGAAUACUUGGUGUAGCGGUGAAAUGCGCAGAUAUCGGGAGGAACACCGGUGGCGAAGGCGGGUCUCUGGGCCGUUACUGACGCUGAGGAACGAAAGCGUGGGGAGCGAACAGG